rnacentral:sRNA from 1 species
AUCGAAGAGAGCAACGGUGAAGAGUGCCAGCCAUGUUGGUCGAUGAAGUGGUAGUGGCGGGGACGGCAGUCGCGGGAUUGAUAUUCGUUUUCACCGGUGGGAUCGGUUAUUUCAUCUGGAAGGACGCACGGAAAUACAAAUAACGAAGUCCUUCGGAUUCCAGAGCACGCAAGGCACUUUCGGGCGACGUUAGUCGCCCUUUUUUUUU